UUGCCAGCCCGCUCAGAAACUCAAAGGAAUUGACGGGGCCCGCACAAGCGGUGGAGUAUGUGGUUUAAUUCGAUGCAACGCGAAGAACCUUACCUGGUCUUGACAUCCCGGAGACCCUUAGGAAACUAGGGGGUGCUUCCAUCUGGAAGAAUCUGGAGACAGGUGCUGCAUGGCUGUCGUCAGCUCGUGUCGUGAGAUGUUGGGUUAAGUCCCGCAACGAGCGCAACCCUUGCCUUUAGUUGCCAGCAGUUCGGCUGGGCACUCUAAAGGGACUGCCGGUGUUAAACCGGAGGAAGGUGGGGAUGACGUCAAGUCCUCAUGGCCUUUAUGACCAGGGCUACACACGUACUACAAUGGCCGAUACAAAGGGCAGCGACACUGCGAGGUGAAGCCAAUCCCGUAAAAUCGGUCUCAGUCCGGAUUGGAGUCUGCAACUCGACUCCAUGAAGUUGGAAUCGCUAGUAAUCGUGGAUCAGCAUGCCACGGUGAAUACGUUCCCGGGCCUU
rnacentral:rRNA from 1 species